rnacentral:lncRNA from 1 species
ACAGACUACCACCCCAACUGCCAGCUCUACCACUGAGGCUACCACCACAACACCGACCACUUCAACUGAACAGACUACCACACCAACUGCCAGCACUACCACUGCGGCUACAACCACAACAGCCACCACUUCAAUGGAACAGACUACCACACCAACUGCCAGCACUACCACUGAGGCUACUACUGCAACAGCCACCACUACCAUUUCCACCGAAACGACAACCACCACAACAGCUACCACUUCAAUGGAACAGACUACCACCCCAACCUCCAGCACUACCACUGAGGCUACCACCACAACACCUAGCACUUCAACUGAACAGAUUACUACACCAACUGCCAGCCCUACCACUGAGGCUACUUCCACAGCAGCCACCACUUCAACUGAACUGACUACUACACCAACUACCAGCACCACCACUGAGACUGCUACUGCAACAGCCACCACUACCAUUUCCACUGACACUACAAUCACCACAGCAGCUAUCACUUCAACUGAACCAACUACCACAAUGACUACCAGAAGUACUACUGAGGCUGCCACAACAGCCACAACUUUAAUGGAACCAAGUACCACACCAACUUCCAGCCCUACCACGGAGGUUACAACCACAACAGCCACCACUACUGCUCCCACAGAAUCUACAACCACAAUAGCCACUACAUCAACUGAACAGACUACCACACCAACUACCAGCACUACCACUGAGACUACCACUGCAACAGCCACCACUUCAACAGAACUGACUACCACACCAACUACCAGCACUACCACUGAGACUACCACUGCAACAGCCACCACUUCAACAGAACUGACUACCACACCAACUACCAGCACUACCACUGAGGCUACCACUGCAACAGCCACCACUACCAUUUCCACUGAAACUACAACUACCACAGCAGCCACCACUUCUACUGAGCAGACUACCAUACCAACUGUCAGCAGGACCACUGAAGCUACAACCACAACAGCCACCACUUCAACGGAACAGACUACCACACCAACUUCUGGCACUACCACUGAGGCUACCACAGCCGUAGCCAG